GAUGAACGCUGGCGGCGUGCCUAAUACAUGCAAGUCGAGCGAACAGACGAGGAUCUUGCUCCUCUGACGUUAGCGGCGGACGGGUGAGUAACACGUGGAUAACCCACCUAUAAUACUGGGAUAACUUCGGGAAACCGGAGCUAAUACCGGAUAAUAUAUUGAACCGCAUUGUUCAAUAGUGAAAGACGGUUUUGCUGUCACUUAUAGAUGGAUCCGCGCCGCAUUAGCUAGUUGGUAAGGUAACGGCUUACCAAGGCAACGAUGCGUAGCCGACCUGAGAGGGUGAUCGGCCACACUGGAACUGAGACACGGUCCAGACUCCUACGGGAGGCAGCAGUAGGGAAUCUUCCGCAAUGGGCGAAAGCUUGACGGAGCAACGCCGCGUGAGUGAUGAAGAUCUUCGGAUCGUAAAACUCUGUUAUUAGGGAAGAACAAAUGUGUAAGUAACUAUGCACGUCUUGACGGUACCUAAUCAGAAAGCCACGGCUAACUACGUG
rnacentral:rRNA from 1 species